AUACGGAGGGUGCAGGCGUUAAUCGGAAUUACUGGGCGUAAAGGGCGCGUAGGCGGUCUAUCAAGUCAGGUGUGAAAUCCCACGGCUCAACCGUGGAGGUGCAUCUGAAACUGAUGGACUUGAGUAUGGGAGAGGAAAGUGGAAUUCCCGGUGUAGAGGUGAAAUUCGUAGAUCUCGGGAGGAACACCAGUGGCGAAGGCGACUUUCUGGACCAAUACUGACGCUGGGGCGCGAAAGCGUGGGGAGCAAACAGGAUUAGAAACCCUAGUAGUCC
rnacentral:rRNA from 1 species